rnacentral:rRNA from 1 species
UACGGAGGGGGCUAGCGUUGUUCGGAAUUACUGGGCGUAAAGCGCGCGUAGGCGGAUCUGCAAGUCGGGGGUGAAAUCCCGAGGCUCAACCUCGGAACUGCCCUCGAUACUGCGGGUCUCGAGUCCGGGAGAGGUGAGUGGAAUUCCUAGUGUAGAGGUGAAAUUCGUAGAUAUUAGGAAGAACACCAGUGGCGAAGGCGGCUCACUGGCCCGGUACUGACGCUGAGGCGCGAAAGCGUGGGGAGCAAACAGG